rnacentral:lncRNA from 10 species
AAUGUAUACCUUCGGCAUAGGUUACAAGGUGUCUUAUGUGCAAACCAGAAAAGAGAUGGCAAUUCUGAUCCUGGACCCAGUUUCCAUGAAAGAGAAACAAAAUGGAGCAGAUCCUGUCCCCAGCAAAGAUGGUAACCAGAUACAAGGGGACAAACAUUGUCUGCCCCUCACUGCAGAAUUCAGAGUAUGGACAGGAUUAUGAUGUGCCAGUGUCCAACAGGCAUGUGUUGGGUAAGCACCAGAGGCCCACUGGGGUGAGGAGA